UACGAAGGGGGCUAGCGUUGCUCGGAAUCACUGGGCGUAAAGCGCACGUAGGCGGGUUGUUAAGUCGGGGGUGAAAUCCUGGAGCUCAACUCCAGAACUGCCUUCGAUACUGGCGACCUUGAGUCCGGGAGAGGUGAGUGGAACUGCGAGUGUAGAGGUGAAAUUCGUAGAUAUUCGCAAGAACACCAGUGGCGAAGGCGGCUCACUGGCCCGGUACUGACGCUGAGGUGCGAAAGCGUGGGGAGCGAACAGG
rnacentral:rRNA from 1 species